rnacentral:lncRNA from 10 species
UUUUUUUAAUUUGAGACGGAGUCUCACUCUGUCGUCCAGGCUGGAGUGCAGUGGUGCGAUCUUGGCUCACUGCAACUUCUAGCUCCUGGGUUCAAGCGAUUCCCUUGGCUCUGCCUCCCGAGUAACUGGGACUACAGGCUUGUGCCACCACACCCAGCUAAUUUUGUAUUUUUAGUAGAGACGGGGUUUUGCCAUGUUGGCCAGGCUGGUCCUAAACUCCUGACCUCAGGUGAUCCACCUGCCUCGGCCUGCAAAGUGCUGGGAUUAUGGGCGUGAGCUACUGUGCCGUGCGUUUUUUGAGACAGGGUCUCUUCUUAUUGCUUAGGCUGGAGUGCAGUGGGGCCAUCAUAACUCACUGCAGCCUCGAGCUCCUGGGCUCAAGUGAUCUUCCUGCCUUAGCCCUCCGAGUAGCUGGGACUAGGUGAGCACCACCACACCCGGCUAAUUUUUAAAAUUUUUUGUAGAGACAGGGUCUUGCAGUGUUUCCCAGGCUGGUGCCUGGGCUCAAGCAAUCCUCCCCUCUGAACCUCCUGAGUAUCUGGGACUACAGCUGUGUACCACCACGUGCAGCUAAUUUAUUUUUAUUUUCGUAGAGAUGGGGUCUCCCUGUUUUCCAGGCUAGUCUGGAACUCCUGGCCUUAAGCAAGCAUCCCACUUUAGCCUCCCGAAUAGCUGGGACCAUAGGCGCACACUACUACUAUUUUUAUUUUUAUAGAGGCUGAGUGUUGCUGUGUUGCCCAUGCUGGUCUUAAACUCCUGGGAUCAAGAGAUCCUCCUGCCUCAGCCUCCCAAAGUGCUGGGAUUACAGGCGUGAGCUGCCUUGCCUAGCUGCUAUUGAGCUCUUGAAAUGGAGCAUUCCUGAUGGGACUGAAGAAUGGAGUUUUAUCUCAUUUAACAAGAGACUGUCAGAUUGGAGCGUCCUCAUGGUUAUGGCCUCUUGUGGCCCAGAACCUGCUGCCUGGCAGAUACGGACUCAGAGGAAGACGAAGAAUUCCUGAAGGACGAGUGGCCCGCCCAAGGCCCCUCCAGCUCCAAACUGACGCCUUCCCUCCUGUGUAGCAUGGUGGCAAAGAACAGCAAGGCAGCUGGUGGCCCCAAGCUGACCAAGAGGGGCCUGGCGGCCCCCCGGACUCUGAAACCCAAGCCGGCCACCAGCAGGAAGCAGCCGUUUUGUCUGCUGCUUCGAGAGGCCGAGGCGCGUUCCUCCUUCAGCGACUCUUCGGAGGAAUCGUUUGACCAAGGUUACUAGCUCCAAACACAAAAUACCUUCCGUGUUUCCUAGCGAGAGAGUGCGUGCGAGUGAGCGAGAGGGAAGCGAGUGGGCGCACGGGAGAGAUGGUGGGUGAGGAGGCCCGUGCGGAUGGCCGCAAGAAGGCUGCCAUCUGGGUUCUUGGCAGCGUAGCCUGCUGUUAUCAGCCGAAUGAUUUUGAUUUUUGCUUUGAUUUGUACUGUAUCAUUGUGAUAAUAUCCCCGGCUGGCUCUUUUUGAGCUGUUAUAUGGACUGCUUUUGAGUCUGCGUUUCUCUCCACUUGCCCUCCUCCCUGCCCUCCUCCCCCUCCCCCGAGUUCCCCCCACCCCCGCACUCACGUUUUCUGCCCACCCAGAGACCCCAGGCUUGGUUCGGGCUCUCUUUGGGCACGGGUUCGGUGGAGGCUUCCCGAGGAACAUUUUGUAAAUGGAAUUCUGUCGUGUGGGCGUGUGACUUGAUGUUUGUACCGCGAUUUUGGUAAUACCAAG